rfam:Acidobacteria bacterium RIFCSPLOWO2_12_FTLL_66_21 rifcsplowo2_12_scaffold_1206, whole genome shotgun sequence.
UUGCCGGUGGAAGUCCGGCCGUGGGAGCCGGCUGUCUCCUCACGUAGUGAGACUCGACAUCUCGCUGAGACGACUCAGGAGGUGAAAGCUCGAACGUAAACGUCCUGGCCGGCGCAGGGCAAGCAACCCAUCGGGCCGUAGCGGAU